rnacentral:rRNA from 1 species
GUGCCAGCCGCCGCGGUAAUACAGAGGGUGCGAGCGUUGUCCGGAAUCACUGGGCGUAAAGGGCGCGUAGGUGGCCUGAUAAGUACGGGGUGAAACCCUGCAGCUUAACUGCAGGACGGCCUCGUAGACUGUCCGGCUUGAGCAUGGUAGAGGCUGGUGGAAUUCCCGGUGUAGCGGUGGAAUGCGUAGAGAUCGGGAAGAACAUCGGUGGCGAAGGCGGCCAGCUGGGCCAUUGCUGACACUGAGGCGCGACAGCGUGGGGAGCAAACAGGAUUAGAAACCCUCGUAGUCC